rnacentral:rRNA from 1 species
CAGUCGCCACGGUAAUACGAAGGGUGCAAGCGUUACUCGGAAUUACUGGGCGUAAAGCGUGCGUAGGUGGUGGUUUAAGUCUGUUGUGAAAGCCCUGGGCUCAACCUGGGAAUUGCAGUGGAUACUGGGUCACUAGAGUGUGGUAGAGGAUAGUGGAAUUUCCGGUGUAGCAGUGAAAUGCGUAGAGAUCGGAAGGAACAUCUGUGGCGAAGGCGACUAUCUGGGCCAACACUGACACUGAGGCACGAAAGCGUGGGGAGCAAACAGGAUUAGAUACCCCUGUAGUCCCUGUCUCUUAUAA